rnacentral:lncRNA from 1 species
UGACAUUCAAGCAUUCCACCAUUACACCUCCUUCGCCAUGGGUGGACACUGGAGCUUUUCCCAUGGGUGGACCCUGGGGCCUUCGUCAUGGGUGGACCCUGGGGCCUUCGUCAUGGGUGGACACUGGGGCUUUUCCCAUGGGUGGACCCUGGGGUCUUCUUCAUGGGUGGACCCUGGGGCCUUCGUCAUGGGUGGACACUGGGGCUUUUCCCAUGGGUGGACCCUGGGGCCUUCAUCAUGGGUGGACCCUGGGGCCUUCAUCAUGGGUGGACCCUGGGGCCUUUCCCAUGGGUGGACACUGGGGCCUUCGUCAUGGGUGGACCCUGGGGCCUUCGUCAUGGGUGGACACUGGGGCUUUUCCCAUGGGUGGACCCUGGGGCCUUCAUCAUGGGUGGACCCUGGGGCCUUCGUCAUGGGUGGACCCUGGGGCCUUUCCCAUGGGUGGACACUGGGGCCUUCCCCAUGGGUGGACACUGGGGCCUUUCCCAUGGGUGGACACUGGGGCCUUCGUCAUGGGUGGACCCUGGGGCCUUCGCCAUGGGUGGACCCUGGGGCCUUCGCCAUGGGUGGACCCUGGGGCCUUCGUCAUGGGUGCUCUGGGGCCUUUCCCAUGGGUGGACACUGGGGCUUUUCCCAUCGGUGGACAAAGGGGCUUGACACUGGGGCUUUUCCCAUGGGUGGACACUGGGGCUUGACACUGGGGCCUUUCCCAUGGGUGGACACUGGGGCUUUUCCCAUGGGUGGACACUGGGGCCUUAACCAUGGGUGGACACUGGGGCCUUUCCCAUGGGUGGACACUGGGGCCUUCACCAUGGGUGGACACUGGGUCUUUUCUCAUGGGUGGACACUGGGGCCUUCGCCAUGGGUGGACACUGGGGCUUUUCCCAUGGGUGGACACUGGGGCUUUUCCCAUGGGUGGACACUGGGGCCUUUCACAUGGGUGGACACUGGGGCCUCCAUGUGUAACUCUGUGUUGUUGUCUGUGUCACACUGCUUUGCUUUAUCUUGGCCAGGUUGCAGUUGUAAAUGAGAACUUGUUCUCAAC